rnacentral:rRNA from 1 species
UACGAAGGGGCUAGCGUUGUUCGGAUUUACUGGGCGUAAAGCGCACGUAGGCGGAUCGUUAAGUCGGGGGUGAAAUCCUGGAGCUCAACUCCAGAACUGCCUUCGAUACUGGCGAUCUUGAGUCCGGAAGAGGUGAGUGGAACUCCUAGUGUAGAGGUGGAAUUCGUAGAUAUUAGGAAGAACACCAGUGGCGAAGGCGGCUCACUGGUCCGGUACUGACGCUGAGGUGCGAAAGCGUGGGGAGCAACAGG